GGGGGCUUGCUCCCGGGUUAGUGGCGAACGGGUGAGUAAUAUAUCGGAACAUAUCCGGAAGUGGGGGAUAACGUAGCGAAAGUUACGCUAAUACCGCAUAUGCCCUGAGGGGGAAAGGGGGGGAUCGCAAGACCUCUCGCUUUCGGAGUGGCCGAUACCGGAUUAGCUAGAUGGUGAGGUAAAGGCUCACCAUGGCGACGAUCCGUAGCUGGUCUGAGAGGACGACCAGCCACACUGGAACUGAGACACGGUCCAGACUCCUACGGGAGGCAGCAGUGGGGAAUUUUGGACAAUGGGCGAAAGCCUGAUCCAGCCAUACCGCGUGAGUGAAGAAGGCCUUCGGGUUGUAAAGCUCUUUCAGCCGGAAAGAAAUCGCACUUUUUAAUACGGAGUGUGGAUGACGGUACCGGAAGAAGAAGCACCGGCUAACUACGUGCCAGCAGCCGCGGUAAUACGUAGGGUGCGAGCGUUAAUCGGAAUUACUGGGCGUAAAGCGUGCGCAGGCGGUUUGAUAAGCCAGAUGUGAAAUCCCCGGGCUUAACCUGGGAACUGCAUUUGGAACUGUCAGACUAGAGUGUAGCAGAGGGGGGUAGAAUUCCACGUGUAGCAGUGAAAUGCGUAGAUAUGUGGAGGAAUACCAAUGGCGAAAGCAGCCCCCUGGGUUAACACUGACGCUCAUGCACGAAAGCGUGGGGAGCAAACAGGAUUAGAUACCCUGGUAGUCCACGCCCCUAAACGAUGUCAACUAGUUGUUGGGGGAGGAGACUUCCUUUAGUAACGCAGCUACGCGUGAAGUUGACCGCCUGGGGGAGUACGGUCGCAGAUAAAACCUCAAGGAAUUGACGGG
rnacentral:rRNA from 1 species